AGGACAAGGCACAAGUGGAUUCAUUUCCUGAAGAGACAAUUGGGAGAGACGAUAGAUAGUUCUCAACACCUUCUUUAAAAGUAUUCCAAGCAUUACUAGUUUUGUCUGGUAAUCUGUGUUUAAGUAAUGGAACAUACUUAGAUGUUAUAGGACUAUUAAAUGGAAAAGUAAUUAAUAUGGGGAAGUGGUCACUGCCAUAUGAUGAAGGUAGAGUUUGCCAAGAUAACAGAGAGGCUAGGCUAGGGGAACAUAUUGACAAAUCAACAGCACUUUGACUUUGGCCUGGACUGGUAAAACGGUUAUUUGAAAUAGAACUGCCCCAUGCACGAUGAUGACAGUUAAAAUCUCCUAAGAUGAUCAGAGGUUUAGGGAGAGUUGAGAUUAAUUGAUCAAUUUCACUUAAGAUAGAAGAAGAGGGGUGAGGUAUGUACAUAGACACUAAACAAAAAUUAUAAAUAUUUAUUGCUAUAAUAGAAAAUUCGUUACUAUGAUUAGGGAUUGGAAUUGGACUAAAAGAGACAGAUUUGUUGAUAAAUAUGGCUACUCCACCAUAUCCAUCAAUUCUGUCUUCCCUGAUAGAAUUAUAACCAUUAACUUUAAAUUUUUGAUUGGGU